CAGCACCAAGACAAAGACAAGCUGAGGUGGUUGAUCCAUGCCAAGUUUCCUCACACGUGAAGACUUGAGUCCCAUGAGGUGCCUGGUCAGAAUCUAAGCUGAGCCCGCUACCAUCUUUGUUGGCCAUGAAGAAAUGUAAACCCCGGACUGUAUCCUGCUUCGGAAGCAAUCCAACUACUGAUGCUACAGCGAACUGGAAGUGAAUGACCAUUGCAGGGACAGCUCCUUCAUUCCAUACUUAUUGAAAGGCGUCUACCUGCCCACCUGGUACGUCUACAAAGAAGUGGAAGACAGUUCCUGCUCUCAAGAUGCUUAUCGUGUUCCGGGGGCACCAACAUUCACACAUAUAAGAGUGACAUAAGCUGGAGCUGUUUUCUCAGAACAGGCAAAGGUACAAUCAAAUGACCACCAACACCCAGAGACAACGGGAAAAAACGUCUACCUGUAACACCUAGCACAUCUACAAAUUCAGCAAAUGUGGAACAGCUUUGAGAAGUAGCCAAAGGCUCCCAUUUCUGGGUAUUUCACAGCAACCGUAAUAUAAAGGAUGCUAAUAUUUAUUUAAAAGCCUCAAACUCAGGAAUUCUGCUAUGUGAU